AGCGAACGCUGGCGGCAGGCCUAACACAUGCAAGUCGAACGGAUCCUUCGGGAUUAGUGGCGGACGGGUGAGUAACACGUGGGAACGCGCCCUUUGGUUCGGAACAACUCAGGGAAACUUGAGCUAAUACCGGAUGUGCCCUUCGGGGGUAAGAUUUAUCGCCAUUGGCGCGGCCCGCGUCUGAUUAGCUAGUUGGUGAGGUAACGGCCCACCAAGGCGACGAUCAGUAGCUGGUCUGAGAGGAUGAUCAGCCACACUGGGACUGAGACACGGCCCAGACUCCUACGCGAGGCAGCAGUGGGGAGUCUUGCGCGAUGGGCGCAAGCCUAGCGCAGCCAUGCCGCGUAAAUGAUGAAGGUCUUAGGAUUGUAAAAUUCUUUCGGCGGAGACGAUAAUGACGGUACCCGCAGAAGAAGCUCCGGCUAACUUCGUG
rnacentral:rRNA from 1 species